GGGCUCUGCCUCUGGGUUCGGCCUCGGAUCGGCCAGUCCAGCAAAAAGCGGAACCCUCUUGCGUGGUGAGAGGGCAGCACGGUCUCCCUUCUACCCGCCCGUCCUCUCCCGAGCGUAGCCGUUGCACGCCCAGCUCCCAGUAUAAUGGAGCCUCAGUCAAGAGUAUGAGUUACCAUCAGGGCUUAAAUUCUCAAAGAUUAUUUCCCAGAGCCCCGGCAUCUCCCGUAGGGCUGAAGCCCCAAGCCCCAGCGGGCGCUGUGAAGGACCUUGUGAUUAAACAGCUUGAAUCUGAGACUGUGAAAGGAGAGCUAAUGGACAAUUCAAAGUGAGGUGAGAUGACUGGGGCAACAGGCAAGGAAGAUGAUCUUAAUAACUAUGUUUCAUAAGGACUAGGUGGGAGCAAGGUGGGCCAGAGAGGAGGUGAUUGCAGUAGACAGAAUGUGAGAUGAUAAGGGCCUGGACAAGUGUUUUAGCUAUCCGGAGAGAAAAAGGUGUCCUGGCUUGGAACUGUUAUGGAGGAAGCAUCAGCGGAUUUGGAGGUAGGCUGGAUCCGUGGACCAAAAGGGAGGAAGUAGUCAAAAAUAAUUUCCAGGUUACUGCCCUGUUUGAGAGGAAGGAUGAUGGCACUGUCAGCGGUGCCAGAAAAAUAUACAUUUCAUCAAAAAGAUUUCUCAAAUUUGGAUGGAGGGAAAUAUCUAGUGCAUUAAGCCCAUCUGAAUAUUUAUAGCAUGCUGACAUGCUUCUGCCGACAAUUAAUCAAAUGCAGUUUGGCACGUGCAGGUGAUCUUAACUUUUAAAUUGUGGGAAAAGAAGAGCAGGUAAUAUUUAAGGUGAAAUAAAGGAUACAAUUUUCAAUACUGCAAUUGAAACUAAUUCUGAUUUUGAUUCAUUUCCAGUGUUAUCACUAUCCUUUAAUCAUCAGCAUGAAGAGAAAAAAAUAAUCUCUACUUCAUUGAGAUGUAUUUGCAACCCCAUUACAUUGAAGACGACCCCGUGUUUUUCAAGGGAAACUGAUGCAGCGACAAAUCCCUUAAAGUCCAGAUUGUAGGUCCAUUAAGCAGGAAUUCCACACAUACAAAAAUCAAUUUUCUACCAUCACCAUGAGUAUUCCACAUCUCUCCCCAAAGCAGCAUUACCUGCCCAACCCGCCACAGAUGUCAGUAUUCAAUUAUAUGUAAAUUACAACCUGCUCCAACUCAUACUGAAGUUAGUGUCAAAACUCUAAUUGACAGCAGCAUAAUGGUAAGGAUCAUGUCUUCUUAUACAUCUGUAAAGAGCCCUCUAAACAGGAAUAUUGCUACCAUUCAAUAGGCAUAAUUUGACUCCAUAGGUGAAGCAAUAAAACUUAUACAUGAAACCUAAGCCCCACUGUCAACCAUGAAAAUUUUUAGUUAUUUGUCAGUGUUUAGCAGGUUUGCUCUACAAGAAAACAUACCUUGCCUCUAAAUAAUUUAAUCUAGUGACUACCUUGAAGACAUUGCUAGUUAAGAGGCACAUCACACCUGUAAAAACUGCCUUGAUAUCUAAAUUGCAGCUGUCUGCUGAGAGUCUGUCAUCAAUGUAAAAAAAAAAAAAAAAAAAAAACCCACGCACACACAGAUCUAGCAGCCUUAUUAUCAUUUCCCUGAUACUUUGUCUAAUGACUGCAUUUUUAUUUUUGCUGCUAGCCAAGCUAUCAUACAUGGAAACUAAGAUUUUAGUUGCCCUUGUUCUUCACUCAAAUUUCAUUUUUGUAAUUGGUUUCUUUUCUUUCCUUCCAAUUCCCCCGCACCCUCACACACCCCAGUUCAGAGCAAAUUGCCUAAUUUCACUGCUUUCUGCCUGUUCAUUAUUUAGCAAUGAUUAAAUUGGAGAUGUUAUACAAACCAAAAUGGAAGCUCACAGUGAAUAUCAACUCCUUUCCCACCAUUCUUCCCCCACCCCCAAGAGCCCUAAAGGAAAUCUAAUCUAACAGACAUUAAUGUAAAUCAUGCAUGUUGAAUCAUAUUUAAUUGAAAAACCACUUAUGGGGAAGAUUAAACACCUGUCUUCAUUUCCCUUUCCUGUCUGAAAUCCAUACUUUUCAGCAUAUUGCAGAGCGGAUACAGUUGUAUUACAUUAAGACAGUGAAUAUAAACUUCAACUUUGAAAACUGAACUUUAUAUUAACACACUGCUGCUCAGACAAUUUAGUGAAUGUUACAAUCCCAGGGCAAGAUCUUUCUACUAGUUUAUAGCCUUUAAAAACACAUUCCAAGCUGGGUUGGCAAUGGUAGAGCUAUUGCUCUGAAUCAUAGAAUAUCAGGGUUGGAAGGGACCUCUGGAGGUCAUCUAGUCCAACCUGCUGCUCAGAGCAGUACCAGUCCUUAACUAAAUCAUCCCAGCCAGGGCUUCGUCAAGCCUGACCUUAAAAACCUCUAAGGAAGGAGAUUCCACCACCUCCUAGGUUUUGAAUGGUCUUUGAUUCUCAAUCAUUGCUAGGUACUAACAUAUAAUAAAGCAUCCUGCCCUGAAGAGCUUACAGUCCAAAUAGCUGUAUGUUCAUUCAAUUUGAGAACAUUAACAAAACUGUCUUCAUUGCCUUGGCAGACCGGAAGGGCAGUUCUCUUGGGGGACAGAGACUGUUUCACCUCUUCUGUUAAUACCCCACCAAAGUAUUCAGGAGUUUUAAAUGGAGACCUACCUUUGUUUCUCCAUGAAAAGUGACCAUGGCUGAGGUCCAUAAUAUUGGGAGAAAAAUGAGCAAUGAAUGAUACUGAGGACCUCUUCAAAACAGAAGACUACCACCGUUGGUCAGUUUUUUAAUAUCAAAUUAUUCUUUCCCUUCCAUAUUUGAAUAUUGGCUGGUUACAGUAUAGGCCGAAUUAAGGGUUCUUUGCUCUUAGGGAAGAGCUAUUAAAGGCAGCUUGCAGCAGAAUAAAAUUGGGCUUUUGCCCUUUUGACUUUUUUUUUUUUUUUUUUGGUAAAUCAUAGUUUUCUAGCAUAGACAGAACUAGAAUUACUAAGGUAAAAGCUAGAAGGGGAAAAAAAAACACUAGAAAAUUGGAAUAAUAAUGCUCACCUCCUUUGUGAUCUACUGCUGAACAGCACUGUAUAAAAGCUAGGUAUUAUUUAAGGAUAUUUUAACAGAAAAAAAGCAAAAAUGCACAAGCCCAUUUUUCCCUUUAGAGAUCACCUUUAAGAGAAAAGUUGUAUACUUUACUACUAGAUAAACUGCAGCUAGUGAGAAAUCUCUUCCUAGCUGAUGGUUAUGCAUCGGCUUGUGACCACGAGCAGGAGUUUCUCUAGUUUGUUUUCAUAAUGUGGAACCCAUUUCUCCACCGUUCCUACUUUGUUACAUUAUGGCAACUACAAGUCUCACUGUAAAAAUCAGUAUUAGCAGUUUUAGUAUAUUUUACUUGUCCAAACAGAAUAUUGCAUACCUCUGGAGACUAGUUACUUAAGUCUAGAUUUUUAAAGGUAUUCAGGCAUUGCUCUACUCAGUGUUGCAAGGCCUAAGUAAGUAUUACAUGUCCAAGUCCCAUUUUAAAAAAGGACUUAGUCCCCUAGGUGUCACUGGAACAGUGCAAGUGAUUUAAAUGGCUAAGUCCUAUGUCCCAAUGACAGGCACCUCUGUGUACAUCUAUACUGAAAAAAAUCUUGUAGCAAUGACUCUCAGAACCCCAGGCCAACUGACGCAGGCCUACACUAUAGGGCUAAAAAUAGCAGUAUAGACAUUCUUGCUUGGGCUGGAGCCUGGGCUCUAAGACUUUUCUCCCUCACUGGGUUUCAGAACCCUGUCUCAAGCCCAAGGAGGAACAUCUAGGCUGCUACUUUUAGCCUUGCAGUAUGAGCCUGAGUCAGUAGAGCUGGGCUCUGAGACUUGCUGCUGUUUUGUUUAGUGUUUUUUGCAACAUAGAUGUACCCCAAGUCGCUUUUGAAAAUGAGACUUGGACAUGUUACUUGGGCCUUGCAACACUGAGCAGAGCAAUACUUAAAAACCUUUAAAAAUCAGGCCUGGUCUACACUUAAAACCUAAGUAUACAUAGCUACAGCACUUGGGUAUGAAAGCCUCACACUCUUGAGCACCACAGGUAUGCUGACCUAACCCCCAGGGUAGAUGAAGCUGCGUUGAUAGAAGACUGCUUCCAGCAACCUAGCUACUGUCACUUAGGGAGGUGGAGUUACUACAGCAUUAGAAAAAACUUUCAUCACUGUAGUGCGCAUCUACAUAAUGUGUUUCAUGGCAUAGCUACACACCAUUGUGUGCUGCUAUAGCGCUCAGAGUGCACACGUCCUUAAUCUCCCUCAUACUUCUGUUGCCUGCUCUUAGGUAGAUUUUUAUAUUGUACUGUGUGAUAUCUGAACACGGUUGGACCUGCUACUGCUUCCCUGCCACUUGCGUGCUUCCUUGGACAUAUUACCCAGUCAGCUGGUCAACAGCUCCCAUCUUACUGGUUCAGAGUAAAUCUUGAUUUCCCUCUGUAGCAGCCAGUACAGAGUGAGGCUUCACCUUUUUUCUUUAUCUCUGGGCUGCCUGUAGAAUCAGUUACAAACAGACAGAGCCAGCAUCCUGCAACCAGUCAUCUCUCCAGACACCACACUUUGGGAAAUGUUAGUAGUUACCUGAAUUUAACAGUAGCAGUAAAAUCACAACAUUUUAUUCCGAGUGGAGGAUCAAUGACACGUUCCAACUUACUGAGUGAGGAGAUGCAUAACAAGUUACAUUUGAGGACAUACCCCAGCCACUUAAGCAGCUCCUCCACCAGUGCUACAAAACUCUUCUCCCCACCGGCUGACCUAGUGGGAGAUCCCUGUUCAGCAACACUCCGUCCCAUCUCAACUACAUUCAGGUUGCAGAGGAGUUCUGAAGCUCACUAACCCUUUUGUACUGUGGCAGGCCAGGGCCAUGAAGGGGAGGCUGAGUGGGGGCAAAAUGAAAGCUCUUUCUUCGCAUAUGCACAGAGAGAUUUGAGUGAUCAUUAAAAAGUUGCAUAACGAGUCUGUGCAGUGACUUUAAAGCUUUUCACAGAGUAGUUACAGUGGCUGUGAAAACUACAACAGAGAAGAACAUCUUGACUUGUGAGUGAAGACUGCACUAGAACACUGAACUAAAAGGUUAUUUUUGCAUUUAGCAAAUCUUCUGAUGAAGAUGCUUUCUAGCUUCGACCAUACUUAUGGCAAAGAUGUGUAGAAUGGUAGAGGACACAAGAAAAGUUGAAUUUUUAUUUAUUAGGCAGACAAUACAAAGAGAUUCACUUAGAUUUCUGACUCUGUGCUUGUGCCUUCAACACUUUCACAACGAUCUUCUGCUCCUCAAUAAGGAAAGCUCGUUUGAUUCUAGGGAAGAGAAAAAGCCUUCAUUAGCUCUUUUAUAUAUAAACUGUGCUUUGAUAUUACACACAUUUCUCCAAGCCCAGCUAUUAAGCACAAAAUGAUACCUAAAACCCAAUUUUUAACUUUUCUACUUGCACUCUUCACCACUGCCAGCACUCCUGAAAUAAGACAUGCAUACCAUCUGAAUUUAAAAAUGCUUUUGGCCUCACAUAGUAUUUUCUUGGCAAAGUGGGCAGAAAAAACACUCAGAAAACUGCAAAGGCCUAGGUAUUUCAGGAUUAAAACAGUUCUCUCUUCCCCCCCGCACCCUUCAUGAACACAGCGGCCAUAGUCAUGUUUAAACAUGGUUAUUUUUGUAGGUUAGACAUGGUCAUUAUGUAGAGGAUCUCAAGCCUAAAAAGACUGAACACUUAACUCACCAGACAGCUUGCUUGAUGGUUUGCCAUACCCAAACACAAAUAUACCAUAUGAACAUUUCUAGUUACUAUUUAAUACAAAGGUAGUUAAGUGACAUGGAAGAGUAGUUUAAUAAUCUCAUUAAAAAAGCUGCUGUUAGCCUAAGCAAAUUCAAAUACUAGUGAUGGGAUUAAUCUGAUUCUCAAAUCCAUGUCUCUACAAAUACUCCUCCCAUCCUUAAUUAUACACAUAUAAGACCCACCCCAAAAAUAAAGAAUACUAGAAGUGUGCCUUGCCACAUGGCAGCAGACAUUUGUUACACUGACGCCCAGUCUGUGGCUCCUUCCUGUUGCCCAGAACCCCUGCUCCCCUCCUGCAUGAUAGUCAGGAUCUUUUCUCCCUCCACUAGCAGCACCAACUCCCUCUAGUGCCAUAUGCAGAUUUAUUUGCGUGAUACAGAGAAUCAUUUUGUAACCCAGUAGCAAAAGAACCCUAGAAUUGUCACCUUCCUAGUUAAUCAAUAUUAAAAAGAGUUUAACUGAACCCUAGAUUGCCUUUUCUGUAGAAUAAAACACAGCAGUGCUCAAGCGUCUCACAGUUAGAAACUUCCUUCCCCUCCUGGAGUUGUAUCCAAACACCCAAUUUACCUUCAAGCUGUCGUGAAUAUUAGUGCUUCACACUUAGUUCUGCACAGUUCAAAAAGGUGUUUUUUUACUAUCACUUUUUUCCAUAUCAAGCUAUCUUUAUUCUUAAAGAUACACGUUUCAUGUGAUAAAGCUGCUUUUCACAUCAUUCACACCUGUAGUAGGCUGUCUUAGUCACAAAAUAAAACUUUUAUAUAGCUGAAUUAAACACAAGUGUACGGGCUAGCAUCCUCAACAAGCUGGGGGGCGGGGGGGCAGUGGCGCAUUUAGCAUGGAAAAUUUUGAACUACGCGUUAUGUCAGUCACACACCUGAUGUCUUCCACAUAUCUGUGCAAUUCGGUUUUUAAAGUACUUAAAGGUAGAAAAAUUGCUAGCAAUGGUUAUAGUACAGAUCAGGCAGGGAAUAGUAUAUUAACCUUUUAACUUUGGAGAUCUGGACUCAAAUUGGUCUAAUACGCGCAUAGACGAAGCUCAUUGCACCAGGGACCUUUUUGUUAUCUCUGGCUAUGACAUGGCUAAUACACAUUGGCACUUUGCUAUAAAAUUAAUUAAGAUGGCCUUAGUUUAGUGUGCAGUGUAAAAUUUAUCCAUAUAGCAAAGCCAUUACAUCAACGCUGAGAUGCUCAGCGUGCAGGUAACAGGGACCAUAAUUGUCAGGACUUGGGUUCAGUGAACAGCAUGAAAAAGUUAACACUUCAACUUAUAUCUAUUCUUAGUCACUGUUCACACAAGACAGGCAGAACUAUUUAAAAUACCCGAGUUGUAAGAAUAUGUGCUAUGUAUGCAGAGUAAGGGCUUGUCUUCACUAAGGCGCUAAGUCCAUGUAAGUUACAUAGCUUCUGCCUCUCCUUCAGGUGGAUUACAGAAGUGGAUGGGAGAGCGCUCUCCCAUCAAUUUAGCAUGUCUUAACCAGACUCACUAAAUCGACUCUGCUGCAUUGAUCGCAGCAGUGCCAAUUUACCCUAGGACAGACAGUAAACUGUAGAAGAUUAACUAGUGUCAUACUUUUAUACAGGGUCAGCUUUGGCAUUAAUGCUUUCCUUAAAUAACUACACUUCUCUCUUGUAUCAAUCAGUAUUCAGAACGUAACUCAAAGUUCAGGUUUAUACAGAAAGGUCAUGAUGUUUGAUGGUAAAUUACAAUCAAGAAUCUAAAACCUUUAUAAAAAAAAAAGAUAGUAAAACAGGAACCAGCUGGAAUCCAGGGGACAAGGUUUUGUACAUAUAAAUGCAUCUAGAUUAUUACAUCACUGCUGAGUUUCAUAGUCCCAUGUUUAUCCAUUCCAAGUCAGUCAAGAGAAAUAUUCUGUUAAAAAGAAUGUUAAGCACCCAGGUCUGAAAAAUUUGGCCUAUAAGAAGAAAAAUGUGUUAUUGCUAAUAUAUGAACAGUAAUUCUUCCCCCCUCCCCCAUUUUGACCAAUAUUUAUGAUAAAGUUGCUUAGCUUUUUAAAAAUUUACCUGUCACGGACACAUUUAGCACACAUGGAACCGCCAUAGGCUCUGCUAACAUGCUUCUUUGUUUUUGACAACCUCAUAAGGACUUUAGGGCGCACAGCACGAACCUAUGUGAAGCAAAAAUUGAAAUGUCAUACCGAGUAAUUCAUAAUCAUGCAUACUUUUUGGAUAUACUAGCCAUAUUUAAAAAAAAAAAAUCAAGCAGACCAUUUAAGCGUGUCACUUCAGACUAAGCAUAAGGAUGUUGAGCAGUUUCUCUUGGGGAAAAAAAAAAGAGAACUGCUGCUGAAUGUGCAAGAUAUGCUUUUACAAGAUACAGCUGUUGGCAAUAUCUCUUUACUACAAAUAUCUUACUAAAAAGUCCUUACAUUGAUAAUUUAUUGGUCCAGGAUCUCCCCCAACCGGCAUUGUGGGAAACUGGCAGUUAAAUGUCAGUAGAUUGCUUGGGCCAAAAUACUGCAUGACAACCUGGAAGUGAAGCUGAGAACUAGACUAUAAAAAGAAAUUCUAAGACUAUCAGUUUUUAAAUAACCCAACAUGGUUUGUUAGUAACAUAACUAAGGAAAUUUGUGUUACAGUGUCUCUUCAAGUCAUUGUACAUAUUCUACACCAAACUUAAUCACACUGUAGACUACAUCAAAAUAGAUAUUACUGCAAUUGCUCUUACUGAAAAGUGACAUUUGGACAUUAUGUACUAGCUAUCUUUUAAAGACAUUUAGUGCUAGAAACAAGGAGAUGACGUAUCAUGUGGUCGAACAAGCUCUCUGGCAAUCACCAGCAAGCAGUCCAUGUACUACAAACAAAUAAGAACCUCUUUUACAAAAAUAUUAAAAUAAAGCCCCAAAUAUUCUCUUUACAAAUAUAUCAGUCUUUUAUCAAAUACAAUGGACACAGCAGCCAGUUCAAGCUAGUUCAGUUCAGUUGGUAGUAGUAUUACUUGGAAAUGGUAGAGUCAGAGAGGAUGACAAUAUGAGUUUUAGAAUAGACAUUGUCCUUUAAAAUGUCACUUUUCACACUGAACCUGCAAACCCUUUUAAGUGUUUCGGCAGGCAGGGUAGUUAGUGAUAUAUUGGAAGCAAUCCUAGCAAAGAUUAAAUCAAUUUCCUUCUUUCUGUAAAAAUAAAAUGAUACCUUUGCUACAUGAUACCUUUUUUAAAAAAUACUGCCGUUACUAUAACUCACUUUUGAUUGUACAGUCUGCACAUAGAACUACUACAGUAUCCCUUUGAUAAUUAUCUAUGUCUAGACUAGCAAGGAUUAGACUUUUAUGGCUAAAUGUCAGUAAACUGCAAUUUCAUCCCCCCAUCCGAACCAAUGAAAAAAAUAUUUCCAUUGAUAACUGAAAUUUACAGAUAAAGUAAGAAAAAUCCUGUUUAAGAACUUAGGGGUGUCAUUAAAUAAUGCUCUGACACCCCCAGAAUUUAGUGCAACUGAAAAUUUAAAUCCAUUAAAAAAAAAUCACUUAAAAUAAAUAUCAUCCAUCCAUUAUAUAUAUAUAUAUAUAUAUAUAAAUAAAAAAAGGUGAAUUCUGCUAAGUCUACCCAUGCCCAAUUUUUAUCGCAUGGGCAUUUGCUACUUAUCCCCUAAGCUAAAGGGGCUCAGAUGCUGUGGAUUAUAAGCACAAAAAUUAAGGAAAAAAAUAGCAUCACUAUCCAAUAAAUGCUUUACGUUUUCAGAGUUUUAACAACUAAUCCUCACAACAAACACAUAUCUCCAAUUAAAGACUGGAAAGCACUAGGCAAGAUUCUUAACUGAAAAAAAAAAAGAAAAGAGGGAAAAAAAAAUCACACAGCAAGUCAGCAACAGUGGGAGUUGAAGUAUUUGAUCAUGGUACCGAAAAUGACCAGUUAAAUGAGUAAAAAGAAAAGGGGUACUUUUGGCGCCUUAGAGACUAACAAAUUUAUUUGAGCAUAAGCUUUUGUGAGCUUUUUGCGGAUACAGACUAACACGGUUGCUACUCUGAAACCAGUUAUAUGAGUACAAUACGUACACCGCGAAGUCUUCCUGGACACACACCACAUGCAGACUUUGGUGCCUUGCCAACUUUCUUAGUGUAAAGGUAAACAAUCCUGUUACCUGGUGUCCGGGACCUGCGUGCAUCAGAGAAACAUGCAAUUAGUGUAAAUAACUACAUUCAAACAGAUAAAACCCUCAGAAACUCUGAUCUUACUUACAGCCUGGUCUUGUUAGAGGCUGUGUUGUAGGACAACCUACGGCGGUAUGUCAGACGCUGAACCAUUUUUUAUAUCUAAAUAAAGGAACGAGAGAAAGAGCAUUAGACUCACAAUGAUCUUUUGCCACCACGUUUAAACUUUUUUUGGGGGGGAGGCGGGGGCGGAAUUUGGACAACAAGAAGUAGAUGACAUCGUCAGUGAAUCAUAUUACUUUUAACGGCCCUGGCAACAGCAAUACACUGAAGUUUGACAUGGGCAGUAGAAUGCUUCAGGUUUCACACCUGCUAGUAAUAAAGAUAUAAUACUAAUCCCACAAACAUAACAAUAAUAAGUUCUAAGUCUUGGCAUUUUUCUCCUUUAAAUCUCAAAGCACGUUAUAAAGGAGGGGAAGUAUCCGCAUCUACAAACAAAUUAUUCUAUGUUGAGAUGUUGUGGAAUCACAGUGUAGCUAGCACCUACAUACUGAGCGCUUGAAAACCCCUAUACCUUUCAUAGCACGCAGAACUGUCUGCUCCCCGUCUCCUGCCCACUGAACGACAGUCCUGUCACCACCACUGCGCCAGGCCCAUCCCAGAAGCCCCGUGUUCGCUCUCCCGGUCGUUCUGACACAAGCUGCACGAGUCACUAGAAGGCAGCAGGGCUCCCCCAUCUCCCUGCCUGGCGCCCCCGCCGCGCGAGAAGCAGGAGAGGCGCCCCCACCAGCGGGUCUGGCCCGGCCCGGCUCCGGACCAUCCCCGUUACCCCGCGGCCUGUCGAUGGCCCCAGCGGCUCGCAAGGCCGCAGAAGGGAGUGCGGGGCAUGCGCUGCAACCAGCAGGCGCGAGCCCAACCGCGGCCCCGCCCGGGACACUCCGGUCCCGAGGCUCCAUCCGGGCCUUGACCCAAUCCCCGCUCCCCAAUACCGCCCUCCCGCGGCUCCCCACACUCCGGUACCCGCCGGGAACUCAGCCCCAGACCGCCCGAGCCCGCCAAUCCGCGGAUGGAAGCGGAUCGAACCAGCUCCCAUACAUAGGCCAAGCCAUGGAAGCCACCAUACCUGGUCUCGCCGGGACCGGAAGAGGAAGAGAAAGGGCGCGGGUCAAAGUUCAAAUAGUGACGGAGCAAGCCCGGAAGUAGUAUUCCUGUUUACUAGGUCAAGCUUCUUGAUUGCAGUCGAGCGGGGCAUGGGUAUCGCCAUGUUGUACGGAAACCUAGGGGCUACUGGCCGUGGUGUGAGUUUCUGCCUGCGGGGGCGUUGAAGAAGAUCGGGCGGGAGCCCACAGUUCGCCACCGUUGGGCCGCCUCUCGCCCUCCCUUUCCCGGCCUGGAGCGCGGCCGGGGAAGGGGUUCGGGGUGCGGGAGGGGGCUCAGGGCAGGGGUUGGGGUGCGGGCUUCGGCUGGGCAGCGUUUACCUCGGGCGGCCCCCGGCAGUGACUGGCAGGUCCAGCGCCUAGGCUCAGAGGUGGCCAGGUGACUCUGCGCUUUCCCUGGCUGCAGGUGCUGCCCCGGCAGCUCCCAUUGGCUGUGCCUCCGGGCCAAUGGGAGCGGUGGAGUCGGGGCAGGGCAUGGGGGGCCGCGUGCGGAGACCCCCUGCGCCUAAGCGCUGGACAUGCUGGCCACGUCUGGGAGCCGCAUGGAGCCAGGGCAGGUAGGGAGCCUGCCUUAGCCCUGCUGCACCGCUGGCCCGACUUUUGGCCGAUUGUAAUCUCCCAGAUUGCUUUUAAUAGUCACCAGGGGAUUGAGGCCGAUUCCGGUAGACUCUUGGCCAAUCCGGGAGGGUUGACAACCUUAAAUUGGACCCAGAACACUGGCUGCGGCCACCCUGGCUCUAACACACACAGUACUGUGUGUACCUUACAAACCCAAACCCUGCCAGAGCCAAGCACUGGGCUUAACGCACCUCCUCACCCUGGGAAUGGAGGGGAGAAGGAGUGAAUCACAGGUGGCAGAUCUUGGUUGCCUUUCCUGAUGCUCUGCUGGAAGGCUCUCUGGAUAUGCCUUAGGCUUAAAUACUAGCUUCGGUAUAGACACUACCUAGGCCCACAGGGAGGGAUUCCAAUCAAUUGGCAAGCCUGAAAGUUUGCCCUUGGUUGCUCCCUGAGUUGCCACACUGGGAUUAAUUCUCACUUUAAGGAAAAAAAAUGAUGUGGUAACUUUUUAUAUAAUUUUAAAUCAGGAAAAUAGUCUACUCAAGACUUCACAUGUUUUCUGACAACAGUGGGACCUAAGAGUUGUCUUCUUAGCAGCCUGCCUUUGCAGGACCAAUCUCUCUGUUUCUCCUCUAAUCUAGUGGAUGCCAUUGUCAUGGUUGUGGCUGCUGCAGGCAUAGUAUCUACUGCAUUGACGAUAUUUACCAUUCCAAUAAUCCUGAGAUUUUGGAAGCAGUCCUGAGGACCUGAGAAAUCUAGAAUCUUGAGUUUUAAACCAAAAGCCUGAAAAUAUGCGGAGCUAGAGGUAUAUAACACCUAUUAGCUGUUUCUUCAGAAACCUGGAAACAACCCAAGAGAUAAUUUCAGGUUUCAGAGUAACAGCCGUGUUAGUCUGUAUUCGCAAAAAGAAAAGGAGUACUUGUGGCACCUUAGAGACUAACCAAUUUAUUUGAGCAUAAGCUUUCGUGAGCUACAGCUCACUUCAUCGGAUGCAUACAACAGCGGGCAGCGGAGCGCCGCGGCUAGGAGCUGGCGGAGCUGUCAUGAGGCUUUGAAUUGAGCUGUGAACUCAAAGCCUCAUGACAGCUCAGUCAGCAGCACGGUCUCCCAGCUCCGCCAGCUCCUAGCCGCAGCGCUCCGCUGCUGUAUGCAUCCGAUGAAGUGAGCUGUAGCUCACGAAAGCUUAUGCUCAAAUAAAUUGGUUAGUCUCUAAGGUGCCACAAGUACUCCUUUUCUUUUUGCCAAGAGAUAAUGUUUUGGACAGCCAAUAAAGAAAAAGUACAGAGAGCCCUAAUCAGGCAGUUCCUUUUUAACCCCCAGUGAUUACUUCCAUUUCCUUUGUUAUUUUUUAUUUCUUUGCCGCAAUAAAAUUGUCCAAUGGAAAAUAAAAAA